rnacentral:lncRNA from 1 species
UAGGAUGGUUGACCCCCUGGGAAGUUGGGGCGUCACAGUUGGUAUCAGAGCCAAUUACCAGCCGGAAGUGUGAGAUGAGUCUCGGCUGAGCCAGGGUCUGGAUGACGGGCUAGUGAGAUGAGUCUCACAUCGCCUGGUACUUGUGAAUCUGAGCCUGACGAGGACGUCAGGGCUUAAAGGAGGGGAGAUUGUGAGACCCCAGAUAGUCCUAUAUAUGAGAUAUAAUAGGGCUAAGCUCUUAAUCCAGCUUAAGCAUUUUGGAUGGUGGCAAGGCCCAAGAGGUUAAGAGAGUUAAGCGUGCUAGGACGGGAGUAGUCCUAAGAUGGGUGACCCCCUUGGAAGUUGGGGCGUCACACAAAAAUUUUGAAUUUUUUUCAACAAACCCACAAAAUUUAAGAUUUUCAAAAUUAGAAUUAAACUCAAUAGUUAAAAGAAGUAAAAUUGAUGGUGUUUAUACUAUCCGAUGGGUGAGAUAGCUUUAAGAGAUUUAAUUCUGCUUAGUGUAAGCAGCAUUUAUAAGAAGGAAUCAAAGUGAAUUAGCUCUUGAAUUACAUUUCUUUGUCUCUAACUUCAAGACAAAAUUCUCUAUUACGGGUCUAUGCGUUAAUGAUCGUGGACAACACCCUAAUUUUUCAUGAGAAUUUCUAUGAACAGCCUAUGUAUCAUAAUCGUGAUUAUAUAAAGAUACUCUUUUAUAGCUGGUCUUCUUUAGAGAUAUGUGUAGAAUCACAUCUCGCAAAAUUACUGUUUCGAAGCCUAUUAUGAGUUUUAAACUCAAUUUCAAUCGCUAUAUAAAGCACUGCUCACUAUAAAAAUAGAAUUGGAGUUGAACUCCUUUAUAUAAUCUAUAGAAAGCGCUUUUUAGGCAACUGACAGUUUACUUUUACUGUAUUGAACGUUUUUUAAAGGGUCUCUCACAAAGAGUG